CAAUAGCGUAUAUUAAAGUUGUUGCGGUUAAAAAGCUCGUAGUUGGAGUUCUGCCAGGUGCCACCUGUCCGCCCCAGUGGUGAGUACGUGGUGCGCAUUUGGCCCUUUCAAGGGGAGCGUAUUUGCACUUAAUUGUGUGGUGCGGGAUCCUUGACUUUUACUUUGAGGAAAUAAGAGUGUUCCAAGCAGGCUCUCGUCGUGCAUAGCUCAGCAUGGAAUAAUAGCAUUGGACCUCGAUUCUAAGCUGUUGGUUGCCAGAAGCGAGGUAAUGAUGAAGAGGGAUAGUUGGGGGCAUUCGUAUUUAACUGUCAGAGGUGAAAUUCUUGGAUUUAUGAAAGAUGAACUUAGGCGAAAGCAUUUACCAAGGAUGUUUUCAUUAAUCAAGAACGAAAGUUAGGGGAUCGAAGAUGAUCAGAUACCGU
rnacentral:rRNA from 1 species